rnacentral:rRNA from 1 species
UACGAAGGGGGCUAGCGUUGUUCGGAAUUACUGGGCGUAAAGCGCGCGCAGGCGGCUAUCCAAGUCAGUGGUGAAAGCCCGGAGCUCAACUCCGGAACUGCCAUUGAAACUGUUUAGCUUGAGGAUGAGAGAGGUGAGUGGAAUUCCCAGUGUAGGGGUGAAAUUCGUAGAUAUUCGCAAGAACACCAGUGGCGAAGGCGGCUCACUGGCCCGAUACUGACGCUGAGGCACGAAAGCGUGGGGAGCAAACAGG